GAUGAAGAACGUAGCGAAAUGCGAUAAGUAAUGUGAAUUGCAGAAUUCAGUGAAUCAUCGAAUCUUUGAACGCACAUUGCGCCCGCCAGUAUUCUGGCGGGCAUGCCUGUUCGAGCGUCAUUUCAACCCUCGAGCCCCCGGGCUUGGUGUUGGGGAUCGGCGUGCCCUCGCGGCGCGCCGUCCCCUAAAUCUAGUGGCGGUCUCGCUGUAGCUUCCUCUGCGUAGUAGCAACACUCGCACUGGAUCGCAGCGCGGCCACGCCGUUAAACCCCCCACUUCUGAAAGUUUGACCUCGGAUCAGGUAGGAAUACCCGCUGAACUUAAGCAUAUCAAUAAGCGGAGGA
rnacentral:misc_RNA from 1 species